rnacentral:rRNA from 1 species
UACGUAGGGCGCGAGCGUUGUCCGGAAUUAUUGGGCGUAAAGAGCUCGUAGGCGGCUUGUCACGUCGGCUGUGAAAACCCGAGGCUCAACCUCGGGCCUGCAGUCGAUACGGGCAAACUAGAGUACUGCAGGGGAGACUGGAAGUUCCUGGUGUAGCGGUGAAAUGCGCAGAUAUCAGGAGGAACACCGGUGGCGAAGGCGGGUCUCUGGGCCGAUACUGACGCUGAGGAGCGAAAGCGUGGGGAGCGAACAGGA